GCAUGUGCACACCCUGCUCAAUUCCACUCUCACACCCCUGUGCACUUACUGUAGGCUAUGGUCGGAUAGCUGACUUCGGUUGGUUUGAAAGCCUUGCUUAUGUUAUUACAAACGCUUCAGUUAAAGAAUGUCAUACCGCGUAUAACGCAUUAAAUACAACUUUCAACAACGGAUCUCUUGGCUCUCGCAUCGAUGAAGAACGCAGCGAAAUGCGAUAAGUAAUGUGAAUUGCAGAAUUCAGUGAAUCAUCGAAUCUUUGAACGCACCUUGCGCUCCUUGGUAUUCCGAGGAGCAUGCCUGUUUGAGUGUCAUGGAAUCAUCAACUUCAAUAGCUUUUGUUAUUGAAGCUUGGACUUGGAGGUCUGUGUCGGCUCGCAAGAGUGGACUCCUCUCAAAUGCAUUAGCGUGAACCUGACGGAUCGCCUUCAGUGUGAUAAUUAUCUGCGCUGUGGUGUGAAGUCAAUUAGUGUUCGAGCUUAUAACCGUCCGCAAGGACAAUUACUUGACAAUCUGACCU
rnacentral:rRNA from 1 species